AUUGAACGCUGGCGGCAGGCUUAACACAUGCAAGUCGAGCGGGGAAGGGUAGCUUGCUACCUGACCUAGCGGCGGACGGGUGAGUAAUGCUUAGGAAUCUGCCUAUUAGUGGGGGACAACAUUCCGAAAGGAAUGCUAAUACCGCAUACGCCCUACGGGGGAAAGCAGGGGAUCUUCGGACCUUGCGCUAAUAGAUGAGCCUAAGUCAGAUUAGCUAGUUGGUGGGGUAAAGGCCUACCAAGGCGACGAUCUGUAGCGGGUCUGAGAGGAUGAUCCGCCACACUGGGACGGAGACACGGCCCAGACUCCUACGGGAUGCAGCAGUGGGGAAUAUUGGACAAUGGGCGAAAGCCUGAUCCAGCCAUGCCGCGUGUGUGAAGAAGGCCUUUUGGAUGUAAAGCACUUUAAGCGAGGAGGAGGCUACUUAGAUUAAUACUCUAGGAUAGUGGACGUUACUCGCAGAAUAAGCACCGGCUAACUCUGUGCCAGCAGCCGCGGUAAUAC
rnacentral:rRNA from 1 species